UCGGGGAUUGGCGAAUCGGUAGGCCAUCGCCCUCUGAAGGCGACCGUGGAGGUUCGAGUCCUUCUCCCCGAACCU
rnacentral:tRNA from 1 species